CAUGUGCACGCUUGUUUCUUUUUAUUUCUCCAACUGUGCACAAAUUGUGGACCUGUUUUGAGGAUUGCUGUGCAGCUUUCUUCUUUGUUUCUCAGGUCCAUGUUUUCACAAUCUCUGAAUGUAUUAGAAUGGUUUUGAAUUGGGGAAUAUACAUACAACUUUCAGCAACGGAUCUCUUGGCUCUCGCAUCGAUGAAGAACGCAGCGAAAUGCGAUAAGUAAUGUGAAUUGCAGAAUUCAGUGAAUCAUCGAAUCUUUGAACGCAUCUUGCGCUCCUUGGUAUUCCGAGGAGCAUGCCUGUUUGAGUGUCAUUUAAAACUUCUCAACCGCAUUUUGGUGUGGCUUGGAAAUGGGGGGUGUGCAGGCUUUUAUGGAAGUCUGCUCUCCUGAAAUGUAUUAGCGGUGUCUUGGUCAGACUACCACAGGUGUGAUAACUAUCGAUGCCUUGGUAUAUGCUAGGCUGCUUCCAAUCUUCAAUGAUCAACUUGACCUCAAAUCAGGUAGGAUUACCCGCUGAACUUAAGCAUAUCAAUAAGCG
rnacentral:rRNA from 1 species